GUCAGAUUGGCCGAGCGGUCUAAGGCGCCAGAUUUAAGCUCUGGGGCCCUAAGGGGAGCGUGGGUUCGAACCCCACAUCUGACA
rnacentral:tRNA from 1 species